GGGGCGAGCGUUAUCCGGAUUUACUGGGUGUAAAGGGAGCGUAGACGGUUCUGCAAGUCUGAAGUGAAAGCCCGUGGCUUAACCGCGGAACGGCUUUGGAAACUGUGGAACUGGAGUGCUGGAGAGGCAAGCGGAAUUCCUAGUGUAGCGGUGAAAUGCGUAGAUAUUAGGAGGAACACCAGUGGCGAAGGCGGCUUGCUGGACAGUAACUGACGUUGAGGCUCGAAAGCAUGGGUAGCGAAC
rnacentral:rRNA from 1 species